GCCCGGCUAGCUCAAUCGGUAGAGCGUGAGACUCUUAAUCUCAAGGUUGUGGGUUCGACCCCCACGUUGGGC
rnacentral:tRNA from 2 species